AUACGGAGGGUGCAAGCGUUAUCCGGAUUUAUUGGGUUUAAAGGGUUCGUAGGCGGACAAGUCAGUCAGUGGUGAAAGCCUGUGGCUCAACCAUAGAACUGCCAUUGAUACCGCUUGUCUUGAGUACAGUUGAAGUGGGCGGAAUGAGUUAUGUAGCGGUGAAAUGCAUAGAUAUAACUUAGAACACCGAUUGCGAAGGCAGCUCACUAAAUUGUAACUGACGCUGAGGAACGAAAGCGUGGGGAGCGAACAGAAUUAGAUACCCUGGUAGUCC
rnacentral:rRNA from 1 species